CCCCUCUCAGGGUCGCAGCUAGAGAGUUUCCGGUACUCUACCAGUCUCGACUGUGGGAGGGAGAGUCAAGCAGAGACAUAUCCAUUCCAUUCCUAGCUGGGCCAGUGACUAGCGUGUGGAAGGCAAUCUGCUACUAGU